UGAUUUUAUAAUUGUCUCAAAUACCCACUUUAUUCCACUGCGUGAAUGCCCAUAAAAAUCUGCAGUGUAGAUCGGCGGGGGUUUCUUGAUGGAGCUACUGAAGUUACCAUUUACAGAUGCCUCCCAGCAGCCUUAAUGACUGUUGCCAAGAAAAUGCUCAGCCAUCCCCCAAUAGCAGCCACAGGGCAAAGCCAGAAAGAGAUUUUAAACCAGUACAAAAAACUAAAUAGGUUGGGAAGCGCUGACAACCAGUCAGAAAACUUUGAACCCAAUCUAAAAGGAGUUAUUGAACAAUCCAGCAGGACUGGUAAAGAAGAUACAAAAGUAUGAUAGAUCAUACUAGACUAGAGCUCCUCAUGUUGCAGUGUGGUCAUUCUCCAGCUCAUGGAAGAGGUAAAAUAUUUCUUCUUGACAGUUCUUACAAUAUUUGAAAAUCAAUUUUAAGCCACUCCUAGUUUUAAACUAUUGAACAUAAUGGAAUUUAUAUUUUGAAUAUAAGACUGGGUGUCUCAGUAGAUUAAGCAUCUGCCUUUGGCUCAGGUCAUGAUCACAGGAUCCUGGGAUUAAGCCCUGCAAGGGGACUCCCAGUUCAGGAGGGAGCCUGCUUCUCCUUCUCCCCCCAACCCCCUGCUCAUGCUUUCUCUCCUAUCUCUCUCUAAUAAAUAAAUAAAAUCUUAAAAAAAAAAACA
rnacentral:lncRNA from 1 species